rnacentral:rRNA from 1 species
UACGUAGGUGGCAAGCGUUGUCCGGAAUUACUGGGUGUAAAGGGAGCGCAGGCGGGGACUUAAGUUGGAUGUGAAAUACCCGGGCUCAACUCGGGGGCUGCAUCCAAAACUGGGACUCUUGAGUGAAGUAGAGGUAGGCGGAAUUCCUAGUGUAGCGGUGAAAUGCGUAGAUAUUAGGAGGAACACCAGUGGCGAAGGCGGCCUACUGGGCUUUAACUGACGCUGAGGCUCGAAAGCGUGGGGAGCAAACAGG